CUGAGAUUUCCUUGGAAGAUCAGCUUAGACUUUCCUCUGAAGAUGUUGAUAAAAUGGCAUCAGCUUCAGUUCCAGAAGUCAUUCCAUUAAGAGAACAAAUAACUGAAGGGGAUGUGGACAAUCCAAAGAAACAAGAAAAUGGUAGCUUUUGAGAUAAACAGGGAUUGGGUGAAACUGUGGAACUUGAAGGAGAUAGAAAUCCUAAGACAGAAGGAGAGGAUCAGCAAAAAAGAGAUAUCAGAUUUACACCCAAGGAAACUUCUGGAGUAAAAUAUAAAGAGUCUAAGCCCACUCUGUCAGAGCCUCCUGAAAAAGGCAAA